rnacentral:sRNA from 1 species
CCAGGCGGCCAGGCAAAUGGUUGUGUAGGCCUGCUUUUCUCUCCCCGGGAGGGAGUGAGGAAGGGCCCCAGCCCAGCAACCCCCCUGAGACCUGUGUUCUGCAACAGAACCUGGAGAACGAUGAGGAUGGAGCCCAGGCCUCUCCGGAGCCGGAUGGGGGAGUCGGCACCAGGGAUUCCAGCCGAACUUCCAUCCGCAGCUCCCAGUGGUCCUUCAGCACCAUCAGCAGCAGCACCCAGCGCUCCUACAACACCUGCUGCAGCUGGACCCAACACCCUUUGAUCCAGAAGAACCGCCGAGUGGUGCUGGCCUCCUUCCUGCUCCUGCUGCUGGGGCUGGUGCUGAUCCUGGUCGGCGUGGGACUGGAGGCGACCCCCUCUCCAGGUGUCUCCAGCGCCAUCUUCUUCGUGCCGGGCUUCCUGUUGUUGGUGCCUGGAGUCUAUCACGUGAUCUUCAUCUACUGCGCGGUCAAGGGCCACCGGGGCUUCCAGUUCUUCUACCUGCCCUACUUC